GUCACGCCUGUGACUUCUUCUUUCUCUUCCCAGGCUUCCUCUGGUCCGCUGUGUCUUAUCCCCCGUCCCUGCCAGCGAUACAGCACAUGGCAGGAUGUGAAGAAAUGGGGUGAUGUCCAAAGCUCAGCCCUCUAGGCACCUUCCUCAGCCUUUUCUAAAAUCCAGCCUGGCACCACGCUACAUGUAAUGUCGUGCCAACUGUGGAGAUGCUCUGAAAUACAUCCCAGGAUAAGCCACUCUUCUGGAACAUGUUUGUGCUCCGUACUCCAACAAUUAAACCCCAAGGGGCCAGGCAGCUGGGACAGUCACAUCUGACGACUUGCAUUUCUUCUGCUUUCUUCUCUUAGCAACCUCCUCUCAAACAAGGAAGGGCUUUCCCUGUCUCUCUAAGGGGAAAUGUCCCUUAGAGCAAAUACCAGUCCUCGCUACAGUCAUCCAGAUUCUGUAGCCUUCGCAUUUGAUUUGUAAUGGGAAUUUUGGCAAAUUUAAACCACCUUCCCCAGCUCCAUCUCCCCCAGCAGAGCCUGGAUUUCAACACUAUGCUCUCACUGCGAAUUUUUUAAAAUAUGGUUUUCUACUCACUGCCAAGAAAUGACUUCUCCGUUUCAAAUUCCCCUGAGUUUGAAGUGAAGUCCAUUGAUCUGUUAAAUACAGAGCUACAUAGCUACAUGAUUUCUGAGAAUGAAAAAAAAAAUGUCAGGUUAAUGUUUGCAAAAAUAUUAUUCCUGUAAAAAUUAAAAUUUAGACUUAUCUGCUUGUUGGAAAUUGUCAGCUAAAAGAAUGCUUUAUGCGAGCGUUACCAUUGCAUGUAGGAUCAUAGGUGAUAAACUGCUUAAGACCAAAUGCUGUUGAGUUUCUACACGUUUGGAUCACUUGAAGGUGCUGGAAUCACAGAGACACAGGGGGUACAGGACGCUAUAGAGAUUAUUACAGAGAAAUUUGGUACGAUGAGAGAUGACGUCUCCUGGGAGCCAGUGAGAUCAGUAGUGCCCAUUAUAUCACAGUCUAGCACUGCAGCCAUGUUUUCCAUCCCUCACCUGUGUCAACCGUCUCUUCCAACAAAGCCAGCUGCCCACCGACCCCCAGACUCACUGACAGCUCUCCUACAUCUGUGUCUCUGCUCUCGCAGUCAGUUUAAUCGGACUGCCCCGUUUAGGGCUUUAAAGAGCGAAAAUCCACCAGAGCUAAGCACCAAAAGUCUUGCCGACUUCUCAUACAUUUCCACCAAUUAAGAGAAUCUUGUGCUGUUAUCAGAAUGGAAACACAAUAUUUCGUUCCAUUGCUUUCAAAUUGGACCACAGUGGCAUCUCACUUUGAGGGAAAAAAAGAUCCAAUUCAUCCUUGCUACAGUUUCUCUAGUCUUUUCAAAAGGACAUCUGACGGGGAGCCGUGAGGCUGAGUCUGGCUCUGAGGAGGGGAAAUGGGAGCAGAAACACUGAGCAGGAGGCAGGGAGACGAUGGUUGUUGCCAUGGCGAUGAACACCCAGUCCGGAUGGUGCUGUUGCCGGCUUGUGUUACUGAGUGGGAGAAAACCUCCUUCCUUCUGGACUGGUGGAGCUGAGGACAGAAAAAUCCGAGUUGACCAAUUUAACUCUCCAGUUGAGAGCUGAAACUGUAUUUCUACAGAUACAGCCAAUGUUUAUUAAGCAUCAACGAAGUGGUUGGCAAUGUGCUGGAUACAUUAGAAGAUUUAAUGUGUGUAAACCCAAAAAGUAGGGACUAACAUCCCUAUUUUAAAUGUGAAGAAAGUAAGUUUGAAGUGGGUAAAGAAUUUGUCAAUUACCUAGUUAAAAAGGCAGGGCUAGGGUUUAAAUCCAGGUCUUUAAUUCAACUGAAUUUACUUUCAAUGUAAACCUAUUUCUACUAAGCUGCAACGAUGCCCGUCAAGUGACAAGGCAGGAAAAUCACGUCCAUCUGAAUAAGGCAAGCUCAGGAAGUCCAUGGCUAACCCAGUUUUCUAGGAAAAUAAUUGACAUUAAAGCUUUCUUUCCUUCAUUUAAAACUGAAUUGGUUUUCUGAUAACAAAUAAAUUAAGAAAGUAUCCUAUGUGACAGCUUUCAGUGUAUUUUGCAUUGAUGUGACAGUAUCAAUGAUUUAUUGACUGUAAACAUCAUUUUAUAGAUAAUCCAAAAGUCAUGCAAUUACCUCACUUGUUCUUUUUCUUCCCAAAUAGGAGAAAACUUUGAAUUUUUAACAAUAAUCACUUAUUGCCAGUAAAAUAAACAGUAUCAAGAUACUAAAGGCCCUAAUAGUUCUNNNNNNNNNNNNNNNNNNNNNNNNNNNNNNNNNNNNNNNNNNNNNNNNNNNNNNNNNNNNNNNNNNNNNNNNNNNNNNNNNNNNNNNNNNNNNNNNNNNUCCCACCCUUUAUCUAAAAGAAGAAGUUGGCACUUGUCCUUUUUGAACAUUUAUGGACCAUGUAGUGAUUCAGAGUGCAAACUGACACUUCAGUCUUACCACUUAUAAGCUGUGUGGCUAGGCAGAUCAACCUCUUAGAUCUCAAUUAUUUAUCUGUAAAAUAGGGAUAAUAAUACUACCUAAACACAUGUGACUGUUGUAUGGGGUAAAAACGAAAUUUAUUUUUGAGAUAAAUUAUGCCAAAUGCAUAGCGCAGUACUGGGCGCACUGGCACUCAGUCACUCAGGCGCGUCCGACUCCGCGACCCCAUGAGCCGCAGCACGCCAGGCCUCCCUGCCCA
ensembl:lncRNA